GGCAAAGAGAGGGAGAGGAUGGGGAUGUACCCCCACUGUUCUUUCAAUGUCAUCUGGGAUCUGCUCCAGCAGCACCCCCCCUCCUGCAACCCUGAGAAGUGAAGAAGUGUGAUGGUUUUCCAGCUGCACUUGAUGGCUGGUGAAUCAGCGCCUCCUCUCCAAAAGAAGCUGCCAAGAAGAUGCUUGGGCUGAUCUGGAAUUAAAAGAUCCUGAACCGACGCACAUCUACAUAUGGUUCCCCUUGGAGGUAACUCUGAUGACGCAGCCAAAGAAGUGACCACCAUCGUGGGUAAGAGCAGGAUGACAAACUGGGAC